rnacentral:rRNA from 1 species
UAGCCGUAAACGAUACUCGCUAGGUGUCGGCCACGGUGCGACCGUUGUCGGUGCCGUAGGGAAGCCGUGAAGCGAGCCACCUGGGAAGUACGGCCGCAAGGCUGAAACUUAAAGGAAUUGGCGGGGGAGCACCACAACGGGUGGAGCUUGCGGUUUAAUUGGAUUCAACGCCGGAAAUCUUACCGGGACCGACAGCAACAUGAAGGCCAGGCUGAAGACUUUGCCGGAUUAGCUGAGAGGUGGUGCAUGGCGUAGUCGU